GAUGAAGAACGCAGCGAAAUGCGAUAAGUAGUGUGAAUUGCAGAAUUCAGUGAAUCAUCGAAUCUUUGAACGCACAUUGCGCCCUUUGGUAUUCCUUAGGGCAUGCCUGUUCGAGCGUCAUUUAAACCUUCAAGCUCAGCUUGGUGAUGGGUGACUGUCCUAACCAUGGACUCGCCUCAAAUACAUUGGCGGCCGGUACAUUGGCUUCGAGCGCAGCAGAAACGCGAACUCGGAACCAGUGUGCUAGCUCCCAGAAGCUAUCUUCACAAUUUUGACCUCGGAUCAGGUAGGGAUACCCGCUGAACUUAAGCAUAUCAAUAAGCGGAGGA
rnacentral:misc_RNA from 1 species